rnacentral:misc_RNA from 1 species
UUGGACUCCAGCGCGGAGGCCUGGACACGACAAUGUGCAAGGCGGAGGAAGGCCGACUCGGAUCCGCUCGAUCUCGCCGACGACGAGGCCCAACAACAGGACGUUGCGGCGCUGAGGAAGCAUUCCCAUCGAUCGACUCAGGCAGACAAGAAGAUGAGUACUUCAUCUGAAGAUAUCAGUGUUCAAGUCAUUUUCCCUGGAUCACAAUAUCAAACAAAUGAGCAGGAGCAGCCAAAGCAUGUCUCCUCUGCUGUGGAUAGUACCAAUCCAGUUGCUUUCAUCAGUGCCGUGUGGAAGAAUGGUCAACCCACAGCCGGACCGAGCAGUCUCCCAAAGGAAAGGAUGCCACGCAUUGUCACAUCCACUUCUAUAGGCGCAGCCCAGAAUGGGAGGAUGUGCAACAAGGCUCGCAUGAUGCAAGCACGCAACUUUCGCCGUGACCCUGACCCCGCACAAACUGUGGGCAGAGUACGUAGCCUCCAAGUAGCGUGCUCUGCCUCUGGAAUGACGCCAGGGCGCGGCAGCAAGAAAGUCAGAGGCUUGGGCUCGUGGUUCCCUUGCCGCCCGAUCCAGGCCGAGACCGCACGGCCUCCAUUCCCCGCUCUCGACACCUCCUCCUUGUGUUCUCCGCACGCAGACAUGAUGCCUCCCACUAUGGCCACUAGCGAGCGAUGCUUGUCGGCUGUCGAAGUUGGCCGGCGCUCCGGUCCGGCCGUCAAACAAUUCCAACGCGUCGUCUCGGCGGACGCGCACGAGGCGCCUGGAAUCGCACGGCGGGCGGACAGGCUGUGCCACGUGCUCCGUAGGCACGCCUCGUCGUAG